GGGCUCAUAGCUCAGCCUGGUUAGAGCGACGGCCUCUUAAUUCAAAAAGAGUAAGCCGUAGGUCACGGGUUCGAAUUGGUCAAAAGGUUUGUUGAACCUUGUCCAACGAAAGUCCCGCUGAGCCCG
rnacentral:tRNA from 1 species